ACACACAAAUCAAAUAGACGAAAGAAGAAGCAAGGA
rnacentral:misc_RNA from 1 species